rnacentral:rRNA from 1 species
AUUGAACGCUGGCGGCAUGCUUUACACAUGCAAGUCGAACGGCAGCGCGGGGGCAACCCUGGCGGCGAGUGGCGAACGGGUGAGUAAUGUAUCGGAACGUACCCAGUCGUGGGGGAUAACGUAGCGAAAGCUACGCUAAUACCGCAUACGAUCUAUGGAUGAAAGCGGGAGACCGUAAGGCCUCGUGCGAUUGGAGUGGCCGAUAUCAGAUUAGGUAGUUGGUGGGGUAAAGGCCCACCAAGCCGACGAUCUGUAGCUGGUCUGAGAGGACGACCAGCCACACUGGGACUGAGACACGGCCCAGACUCCUACGGGAGGCAGCAGUGGGGAAUUUUGGACAAUGGGCGCAAGCCUGAGCCAGCAAUGCCGCGUGCAGGAUGAAGGCCUUCGGGUUGUAAACUGCUUUUGUACGGAGCGAAAAGGCUCUCUCUAAUACAGGGGGCUCAUGACGGUACCGUAAGAAUAAGCACCGGCUAACUACGUGCCAGCCGCCGCGGUAA